CGUGUGAAAAACUCCGGUGGUAUGAGAUGGACCCGCGUCUGAUUAGCUAGUUGGUGGGGUAACGGCCUACCAAGGCGACGAUCAGUAGCCGGCCUGAGAGGGUGAACGGCCACAUUGGGACUGAGACACGGCCCAAACUCCUACGGGAGGCAGCAUG
rnacentral:rRNA from 1 species